rnacentral:rRNA from 1 species
GACAGAGGCCUCGAGCGUUAGGCGGAAUCACUGGGCUUAAAGCGUGUGUAGGCCGGAUCGUUAAGUACCUUGUGAAAUCCCACGGCUCAACCGUGGAACGGCUGGGUAUACUGGCGGAUCUUGGGCCAUUCAGGGGCGACUGGAACAAGCGGUGGAGCGGUGAAAUGCGUAGAUAAUCGCUUGGAACGCCGGAAGGUGAAAACAGGUCGCUGGG